rnacentral:rRNA from 1 species
UACGUAGGUGGCAAGCGUUGUCCGGAUUUACUGGGCGUAAAGAGCGCGCAGGCGGUCGUUCAAGUCGCGUGUGAAAGCCCCCGGCUCAACUGGGGAGGGUCACGCGAUACUGAUCGACUCGAAGGCAGGAGAGGGUAGUGGAAUUCCCGGUGUAGUGGUGAAAUGCGUAGAUAUCGGGAAGAACACCAAUGGCGAAGGCAGCUCGCUGGGACGGUACUGACGCUGAGGCACGAAGGCCAGGGAGCAACGGG